rnacentral:rRNA from 1 species
AACGAACGCUGGCGGCGUGGAUAAGACAUGCAAGUCGAACGGUAACAGGCCGCAAGGUGCUGACGAGUGGCGAACGGGUGAGUAAUGCAUCGGAACGUGCCCAGUCGUGGGGGAUAACGCAGCGAAAGCUGCGCUAAUACCGCAUACGAUCUAUGGAUGAAAGCGGGGGACCGUAAGGCCUCGCGCGAUUGGAGCGGCCGAUGUCAGAUUAGGUAGUUGGUGGGGUAAAGGCCCACCAAGCCAACGAUCGGUAGCUGGUCUGAGAGGACGACCAGCCAAACUGGGACUGAGACGCGGCCCAGACUCCUACGGGAGGCAGCAGUGGGGAAUUUUGGGCAAUGGGCGCAAGCCUGAUCCAGCAAUGCCGCGUGCAGGAAGAAGGCCUUCGGGUUGUAAACUGCUUUUGUACGGAACGAAAAGGCUCUGGAUAAUACCUGGGGCUCAUGACGGUACCGUAAGAAUAAGCACCGGCUAACUACGUGCCAGCAGCCGCAGUAAUAC